GAUGAACGCUGGCGGCGUGCCUAAUACAUGCAAGUCGAGCGAACAGACGAGGAGCUUGCUCCUCUGACGUUAGCGGCGGACGGGUGAGUAACACGUGGAUAACCUACCUAUAAGACUGGGAUAACUUCGGGAAACCGGAGCUAAUACCGGAUAAUAUAUUGAACCGCAUGGUUCAAUAGUGAAAGACGGUUUUGCUGUCACUUAUAGAUGGAUCCGCGUCGCAUUAGCUAGUUGGUAAGGUAACGGCUUACCAAGGCAACGAUGCGUAGCCGACCUGAGAGGGUGAUCGGCCACACUGGAACUGAGACACGGUCCAGACUCCUACGGGAGGCAGCAGUAGGGAAUCUUCCGCAAUGGGCGAAAGCCUGACGGAGCAACGCCGCGUGAGUGAUGAAGGUCUUCGGAUCGUAAAACUCUGUUAGUAGGGAAGAACAAAUGUGUAAGUAACUAUGCACGUCUUGACGGUACCUAAUCAGAAAGCCACGGCUAACUACGUG
rnacentral:rRNA from 1 species